rnacentral:rRNA from 1 species
UACGUAGGGGGCAAGCGUUGUCCGGAAUCAUUGGGCGUAAAGAGCGUGUAAGCGGCCCGGUAAGUCCGCUGUGAAAGUCGGGGGCUUAACCCUCGGAUGCCGGUGGAUACUGUCGGGCUUGAGUACGGAAGAGGCGAGUGGAAUUCCUGGUGUAGCGGUGAAAUGCGCAGAUAUCAGGAGGAACACCAAUUGCGAAGGCAGCUCGCUGGGACGUUACUGACGCUGAGACGCGAAAGCGUGGGGAGCAAACAGG